rnacentral:rRNA from 1 species
GUGCGAAGCGUGCAUAAUCAUUAGUCUCUUAAUUGGAGGCUUGUAUGAAUGGUUGGACAAGAAGCAAACUGUCUCAAACACAAAAAUUGAAUUUGACUUUUAAGUGAAAAGGCUUAAAUAUUUUAAAGGGACGAUAAGACCCUAUAAAGCUUAAUAAUUUAGUAUAUAAUUAGAUGAGUUGAAAGUUUAAUAUUAUUUAUAUACUAAAUUAUUUCGUUGGGGCGACGAUGAUAUAAUUUGUAACUGUUUAAAUUUAAAAUACAGAGAUAUUUGUGUGUAAUGAUCCUUGUUGUUGAUUAAAAAUUUAAGUUACUUUAGGGAUAACAGCGUUAUUUAUUUUGAGAGUUCAUAUCGACAAAAAAGUUUGCGACCCCGAUGUGAAAUUAAGG